CCUACGGGAGGCAGCAGUGAGGAAUAUUGGACAAUGGGCGAGAGCCUGAUCCAGCCAUGCCGCGUGCAGGAAGACUGCCCUAUGGGUUGUAAACUGCUUUUAUACAGGAAGAAACACUCUCACGUGUGAGAGCUUGACGGUACUGUAAGAAUAAGGAUCGGCUAACUCCGUGCCAGCAGCCGCGGUAAUACGGAGGAUCCAAGCGUUAUCCGGAAUCAUUGGGUUUAAAGGGUCCGUAGGCGGGCAGCUAAGUCAGUGGUGAAAGUCUGUAGCUCAACUAUAGAAUUGCCAUUGAUACUGGUUGUCUUGAAUCAUUAUGAAGUGGUUAGAAUAUGUAGUGUAGCGGUGAAAUGCAUAGAUAUUACAUAGAAUACCAAUUGCGAAGGCAGAUCACUAAUAAUGUAUUGACGCUGAUGGACGAAAGCGUGGGGAGCGAACAGGAUUAGAUACCCUGGUAGUCCACGCCGUAAACGAUGGAUACUAGCUGUUCGAUCUUCGGAUUGAGUGGCUAAGCGAAAGU
rnacentral:rRNA from 1 species